GACUCCUACGGGAGGCAGCAGUAGGGAAUCUUCCACAAUGGGCGCAAGCUUGAUGGAGCAACGCCGCGUGAGUGAAGAAGGGUUUCGGCUCGUAAA
rnacentral:rRNA from 1 species